CUGAAGAGUUUGAUCAUGGCUCAGAUUGAACGCUGGCGGCAGGCUUAACACAUGCAAGUCGAGCGGUAACAGGGGGUGCUUGCACCCCGCUGACGAGCGGCGGACGGGUGAGUAAUGCAUAGGAAACUGCCCAGUAGUGGGGGAUAGCCCGGGGAAACCCGGAUUAAUACCGCGUACGCCCUUCGGGGGAAAGCAGGGGAUCUUCGGACCUUGCGCUAUUGGAUGUGCCUAUGUCGGAUUAGCUAGUUGGUGGGGUAAAGGCCUACCAAGGCGACGAUCCAUAGCUGGUCUGAGAGGAUGAUCAGCCACAUCGGGACUGAGACACGGCCCGAACUCCUACGGGAGGCAGCAGUGGGGAAUAUUGGACAAUGGGGGCAACCCUGAUCCAGCCAUGCCGCGUGUGUGAAGAAGGCUUUCGGGUUGUAAAGCACUUUCAGUGAGGAGGAAAACUCUGCGACUAAUACUCGUAGGGCUUGACGUUACUCACAGAAGAAGCACCGGCUAACUCCGUGCCAGCAGCCGCGGUAAUACGGAGGGUGCAAGCGUUAAUCGGAAUUACUGGGCGUAAAGCGCACGUAGGCGGAUCA
rnacentral:rRNA from 1 species